UGCAGAAUUGGAUGAUGGGCGUGUAUUUUUGUGUGAAGACAGACUGAUGAGGAUCAAUUGAAAAGAAGUAUGUAUCGUGCCUGACAGCUUCGUUUCAUGCUCUGUUGGCGAGGAUUCAACAACCGGAGAAGAGGACAGCAGUUGGAUACAUACGUUUCAUCUUUCUGGCGUGCUGUUGGCCGGCCUCACGCAACAUCCAACUAUUCCCGGAAUGCUCGUGGCCCAUAAGGGCCAUUGUGAAAAAAAGGGUGUGUUACAUCUGUGUAAAAGCGAGUAGUCGACAGUUAGUUGCUGUGUUUACUCUUGAAACGCUCUAGUGAUUAUUUAGAUUUCUUGAGAACGAGAAGUGCCGAUUGAGAUGGACGGGACAGAAUGUCCUUGUCUUUCUUGAGAGUUUUACAAGAGUUGUUCGAGAAAUGGCAUGCGUGUAGGAAGGAAGG